AUUGAACGCUGGCGGCAGGCCUAACACAUGCAAGUCGAGCGGUAGAGAGAAGCUUGCUUCUCUUGAGAGCGGCGGACGGGUGAGUAAUGCCUAGGAAUCUGCCUGGUAGUGGGGGAUAACGUUCGGAAACGGACGCUAAUACCGCAUACGUCCUACGGGAGAAAGCAGGGGACCUUCGGGCCUUGCGCUAUCAGAUGAGCCUAGGUCGGAUUAGCUAGUUGGUGAGGUAAUGGCUCACCAAGGCGACGAUCCGUAACUGGUCUGAGAGGAUGAUCAGUCACACUGGAACUGAGACACGGUCCAGACUCCUACGGGAGGCAGCAGUGGGGAAUAUUGGACAAUGGGCGAAAGCCUGAUCCAGCCAUGCCGCGUGUGUGAAGAAGGUCUUCGGAUUGUAAAGCACUUUAAGUUGGGAG
rnacentral:rRNA from 1 species